CCUACGGGGUGCUGCAGUGGGGAAUAUUGGACAAUGGGCGAAAGCCUGAUCCAGCCAUGCCGCGUGUGUGAAGAAGGCCUUCGGGUUGUAAAGCACUUUCAGUGGGGAAGAAAGCCUUGGGGCUAAUACCCUCGAGGAAGGACAUCACCCACAGAAGAAGCACCGGCUAACUCCGUGCCAGCAGCCGCGGUAAUACGGAGGGUGCGAGCGUUAAUCGGAAUUACUGGGCGUAAAGCGCGCGUAGGCGGUCUGAUAAGCCGGUUGUGAAAGCCCCGGGCUCAACCUGGGAACGGCAUCCGGAACUGUCAGGCUAGAGUGCAGGAGAGGAAGGUAGAAGUCCGGUGUAGCGGUGAAAUGCGUAGAGAUCGGGAGGAAUACCAGUGGCGAAGGCGGCCUUCUGGACUGACACUGACGCUGAGGUGCGAAAGCGUGGGUAGCAAACAGGAUUAGAUACCCCAGUAGUC
rnacentral:rRNA from 1 species